rnacentral:rRNA from 1 species
UGGGGAAUAUUGGGCAAUGGGCGCAAGCCUGACCCAGCAACGCCGCGUGAGGGAAGAAGGUUUUCGGAUUGUAAACCUCUGUCGCAGAAGACGAAGGAAGUGACGGUAUUCUGUGAGGAAGCCCCGGCUAACUACGUGCCAGCAGCCGCGGUAAUACGUAGGGGGCGAGCGUUGUCCGGAAUUACUGGGUGUAAAGGGAGCGUAGACGGUCUGGCAAGUCUGAUGUGAAAACCCAGGGCUCAACCUUGGGAUUGCAUUGGAAACUGUCAGGCUAGAGUGCAGGAGAGGUAAGUGGAAUUCCUAGUGUAGCGGUGAAAUGCGUAGAUAUUAGGAGGAACACCAGUGGCGAAAGCGGCUUACUGGACUGUAACUGACGUUGAGGCUCGAAAGCGUGGGGAGCAAACAGGAUUAGAUACCCUGGUAGU